rnacentral:rRNA from 1 species
UGGAUACCUACCUCGAGGUGGAGGAUAACCCGGGGAAACUCGGGCUAAUACCGCAUAACAUCUACGGAUCAAAGGGGGCGCAAGCUCCCGCCGUGAGAGGGGUCCGCGUCCGAUUAGCUAGUUGGUAGGGUAAUGGCCUACCAAGGCGACGAUCGGUAGCCGGCCUGAGAGGGUGAUCGGCCACACUGGAACUGAGACACGGUCCAGACUCCUACGGGAGGCAG